AAUGUGGUGCCUGAUAAAAGGCUAAUUUUGAUGGAAUUAUCUAUGUGACGCUCUCACCCACAUUA